ACGAGGGGUCCAAGCGUUGUUCGGAAUCAUUGGGCGUAAAGCGGGUGUAGGUGGCUCUGUAAGUCAGGAGUGAAAGCCCCAAGCCUAACUUGGGAAGUGCUUUUGAUACUGCAGAGCUUGAGUGUGGGAGAGGAUCGUGGAAUUCCUGGUGUAGUGGUGAAAUACGUAGAUAUCAGGAGGAACACCGGUGGCGAAGGCGGCGAUCUGGCCCAACACUGACACUGAGACCCAAAAGCGUGGGGAUCAAACAGGAUUAGAUACCCUGGUAGUCCACGCCGUAAACGAUGGACAUUUGGUGUUGGAGGUAUUGACCCCUUCAGUGCCGAAGCUAACGCGUUAAAUGUCCCGCCUGGGGAGUACGGCCGCAAGGUUA
rnacentral:rRNA from 1 species